rnacentral:rRNA from 3 species
GAAAACUCAGGGCUUAACCCUGAGCCUGCUUCCGAUACGGGCAGACUAGAGGUAUGCAGGGGAGAACGGAAUUCCUGGUGUAGCGGUGAAAUGCGCAGAUAUCAGGAGGAACACCAGUGGCGAAGGCGGUUCUCUGGGCAUUACCUGACGCUGAGGAGCGAAAGUGUGGGGAGCGAACAGGAUUAGAUACCCUGGUAGUCCACACCGUAAACGUUGGGCGCUAGGUGUGGGACUCAUUCCACGAGUUCCGUGCCGCAGCUAACGCAUUAAGCGCCCCGCCUGGGGAGUACGGCCGCAAGGCUAAAACUCAAAGGAAUUGACGGGGGC